rnacentral:rRNA from 1 species
ACGGGAGGCAGCAGUGGGGGAUAUUGCACAAUGGGGGAAACCCUGAUGCAGCGACGCCGCGUGAGUGAUGAAGUAUUUCGGUAUGUAAAGCUCUAUCAGCAGGGAAGAAAAUGACGGUACCUGACUAGGAAGCUCCGGCUAAAUACGUGCCAGCAGCCGCGGUAAUACGUAUGGAGCAAGCGUUAUCCGGAUUUACUGGGUGUAAAGGGAGCGUAGACGGUGACGCAAGUCUGAAGUGAAAGGUGUGGGCUCAACCCGCAAACUGCUUUGGAAACUGUGUGACUAGAGUGUCGGAGAGGUAAGUGGAAUUCCUAGUGUAGCGGUGAAAUGCGUAGAUAUUAGGAGGAACACCAGUGGCGAAGGCGGCUUACUGGACGAUAACUGACGUUGAGGCUCGAAAGCGUGGGGAGCAAACAGGAUUAGAUACCCUGGUA